GUGCUAGCUUUGGCAGCACACACACUAAAACUGGAAUAAUACUGAGAAGAUUAGCAUGGUCCCUGCCCAAGGAUGAUAGGCAAUCCGUGAAGUGUUUCAUGUUUUU
ensembl:snRNA U6 U6 spliceosomal RNA